rnacentral:rRNA from 1 species
GUUAAGUCAGAUGUGAAAGACCCGGGGCGUCAACCUCGGAAUUGCAUUUAGAAACUGGCGAAACUAGAGUACUGUAGAGGGGGGGUAGGAAUUUCAGGUGUAGCGGUGAAAUGCGUAGAGAUCUGAAGGAAUACCGGUGGCGAAGGCGGCCCCCUCGGACAGAUACUGACACUCAGAUGCGAAAGCGUGGGGAGCAAACAGGAUUAGAUACCCUGGUAG